rnacentral:rRNA from 1 species
UGCCAGCAGCCGCGGUAAUACGGAGGGGGUUAGCGUUGUUCGGAAUUACUGGGCGUAAAGCGCACGUAGGCGGAUCAGAAAGUAUAGGGUGAAAUCCCAGGGCUCAACCCUGGAACUGCCUUAUAAACUCCUGGUCUUGAGUUCGAGAGAGGUGAGUGGAAUUCCGAGUGUAGAGGUGAAAUUCGUAGAUAUUCGGAGGAACACCAGUGGCGAAGGCGGCUUUCUGGACCGAUACUGACGCUGAGACGCGAAAGCGUGGGGAGCAAACAGGAUUAGAUA